CUGGCAGGUGUCACAGAAGAAGGAGGAUCGGCAUGUGAACUCCACAUGACUUGGCCUGGGAAAUGGAUCAAAUCCAGACUGAUUCCGUUUAUCUCAAAAGAGAAGAAACAGACUGAUCUGCAUUCUGCAACUGACUUCCCCAGAGCCUCUGCAGUGUGAAGAUUUGAAAUUGACUUUCCCUCGAGGAUGUUUCUUGGAUGCAGGAGGGGAGGAAAAGUCAGCUAAGCCAAAGCAUCUUUAAAGAUCUCUCGGAAGCAAGAUACAAACUGUGCUCUUUAGACAAUACAUUUCCAGUGUUCUAGCCAUGACCUUCCCUACUUCAAGUGAAUACGAAUGAAAAUCAAUUCUUCUCUCAGUAAGAAACAGAACUUACUGGGAUUAGGAGGUUGAUCUGGUGACAUCAUUAAUAGUAUUUGUAGAGUAACUAUAUGGUUUACAUAUAUUGACUCAGAGCUUCAGAAGCACUCUGUGAGGCAG